GACGAACCGUGCAAACGUUGUUCGGAAUCACUGGGCUUAAAGGGCGCGUAGGCGGGUGAGCAAGUCCGGGGUGAAAUCUUUCGGCUUAACCGGAAAAGUGCCUUGGAUACUGCUCGUCUGGAGGAAGGUAGGGGCAGGUGGAACUUCUGGUGGAGCGGUGAAAUGCGCAGAUAUCAGGAGGAACACCAAUGGCGAAGGCAGCACUCUGGGACGUGACUGACGCUGAGACGCGAAAGCGUGGGGAGCAAACAGG
rnacentral:rRNA from 1 species